CCACGCCCAUUUUCGCUUCUUAAGUUUCGUUUCUGCCGCCAUUUUCUUAUUCCGCAGUGGAACGGAGGCGACUGUCAGCAUAAGCCAGGAUGCAAGCUGUGCGUGUAAAGUAUAGAGAACAACAAAAGUACAUCUGUUUUGAGGGCCAACUGACCUACACAUCGUUUUUGGAAUGUGUUGCCAAGAAGUUCAACAUUCCAAACUUGGACUUCAAAGUUUUUGAUGGCUCAAAGACUGAAGUUGAUGAGGAUGUUUUUGAUUUCCUUAUGA